rnacentral:rRNA from 1 species
GAUGAACGCUAGCGGCAGGCUUAAUACAUGCAAGGCGAAGGGGCAGCAAUGUCACUGUCGUACGGGUGCGUAACGCGUAUGCAACCUACCUAUCACUGGGGGAUAGCCCGGGGAAACCCGGAUUAAUACCGCAUAAAACAGGGGCACCGCAUGGUGAUAUUUGUUAAAGAUUUAUUGGUGAUAGAUGGGCAUGCGUUCGACUAGCUAGUUGGCGGGGUAACGGCCCACCAAGGCGACGAUCGAUAGGGGAGCUGAGAGGUUGAUCCCCCACACGGGCAAUGAGAUACGGGCCCGACUCCUACGGGAGGCAGCAGUAGGGAAUAUUGGGCAAUGAAUGCAAGUCUGACCCAGCCAUGCCGCGUGCCGGAUGAAGGCCCUCAGGGUUGUAAACGGCUUUUAUUCGGGAAGAAGAGCAGGGAUGCGUCCUUGUGUGACGGUAGCGAAUGAAUAAGCACCGGCUAACUCCGUGCCAGCAGCCGCGGUAAAAC